CGUUAUUUCAAAAAUUAUAAGCAAAAUAAGGUACAAACUACCAAAAUAAUUUAUCCAAUGUUAUUCUACUGUAUAAGCACAACCGCCUUAGAUCAUUGCAAACAGAUUUUCAACCAUGCGAUACCCGUUAUUUCAAAAAUUAUAAGCAAAAUAAAUUACAAACUGCCAAAAUAAUUUAUCCAAUGUUAUUCUAAUGUAUAAGCACCAGAUUUUCAACCAUGCGAUACCCAUUAUUUCAAAAAUUAUAAGCAAAAUAAAGUACAAACUGCCAAAAUAAUUUGCCCAAUGUUAUUCUACUGUAUAAGCACAACCGCCUUAGAUCAUUGCAAACAGAUUUUCAACCAUACUCACUUUACUAAUCAUUUCAAGAUCCUUUCAACUUUAGCCUUUAAAAAAUAAAAACUCUAUAUUUUCUUUCUUUUUUGGCAGGAUUUAUUUUAAGAAUUUUCAUUUCAAUAUUACCAUGUUGACCAGUUGUGACUUAAAUAAUAAAUCAAGGAAAUAUAAACGUACGACAUGAAGUGUAGGUUUGACUGAUUAUUCUAGAAUCGAAAGUUUAAUUCAUUUUAAUGAUAUUUUGAAAAUAUAAGGGUCCGUUUCGUUUGACAUAAUCUUUGAAAAUUGAAAAUGAGAUUUUGAAACUCAAGAAUUGCUUUUGAAUCCAUUUAAUUAAUUUUAUAAAAA
rnacentral:lncRNA from 1 species